AUUCCAGCUCCAAUAGCGUAUAUUUAAGUUGUUGCAGUUAAAAAGCUCGUAGUUGGAUUUCGGGUGGGCGAGGCCGGUCCGCCGUCUCGGUGUGCACUGGCUGCGCCCAUCUUCUUGCUGGGGACGCGCUCCUGGCCUUUGUUGGCUGGGACGUGGAGUCAGCGAUGUUACUUUGAAAAAAUUAGAGUGUUCAAAGCAGGUCUUGGCUCUGAAUACAUUAGCAUGGAAUAACACGAUAGGACUCUGGUCCUAUUUUGUUGGUCUUCGGGGCCGGAGUAAUGAUUAGUAGGGACAGUUGGGGGCAUUCGUAUUUCAUUGUCAGAGGUGAAAUUCUUGGAUUUAUGAAAGACGAACUUCUGCGAAAGCAUUUGCCAAGGAUGUUUUCAUCG
rnacentral:rRNA from 1 species